rnacentral:rRNA from 1 species
AGUGAACGUUGGCGGCGUGGAUUAGGCAUGCAAGUCGUGCGGUAAGGCCCCGCAAGGGGCACACGAGCGGCGAAAGGGAGAGUAACGCGUGGAUUAUCUACCCCCGGGAUCGGGACAGCCGCGGGAAACUGCGGUUAAUACCGAAUAAUGUCUCCGGACCAAAGGUGUGAUUCCGCCUGGGGAUGAGUCCGCGUCCUAUUAGCUUGUUGGUGAGGUAACGGCUCACCAAGGCCACGAUGGGUACGAGGUGUGAGAGCAUGACCUCGCUCACUGUGACUGAGACACUGCCCAGACACCUACGGGUGGCUGCAGUCGGGAAUCUUCGGCAAUGGGCGCAAGCCUGACCGAGCGACGCCGCGUGCGGGAUGAAGGCCUUCGGGUUGUAAACCGCUGUCGGAGGGGAGGAAAUGCGCGGGGGUUCUCCCUCGCGUUUGACCUAGCCUCAAAGGAAGGACGGGCUAAGUUCGUGCCAGCCGCCGCGGUAAGAC